CCUACGGGAGGCAGCAGUGGGGAAUCUUGGACAAUGGGCGCAAGCCUGAUCCAGCAAUGCCGCGUGGGUGAAGAAGGCCUUCGGGUUGUAAAGCCCUUUCGGGAGAGGCGCGGUACCCGCAGAAGAAGCACCGGCUAACUACGUGCCAGCAGCCGCGGUAAUACGUAGGGUGCGAGCGUUAAUCGGAAUUACUGGGCGUAAAGGGUGCGCAGGCGGCCCUGUAAGACCGGUGUGAAAUCCCCGGGCUCAACCUGGGAAUUGCGCUGGUGACUGCAGGGCUAGAGUACGGUAGAGGGGGGUGGAAUUCCUGGUGUAGCAGUGAAAUGCGUAGAGAUCAGGAGGAACACCGAUGUCGAAGGCAGCCCCCUGGCCGUACUGACGCUCAUGCACGAAAGCGUGGGGAGCAAACAGGAUUAGAUACCCUAGUAGUC
rnacentral:rRNA from 1 species